rnacentral:rRNA from 1 species
UACGUAGGGGGCAAGCGUUGUCCGGAAUCAUUGGGCGUAAAGCGUACCGAUAGGUGGUUGUACAAGUCAGAAGUGAAAUCUCCGAGCUCAACUCGGAAUCUGUCUUUUGAAACUGUACGACUAGAGGGGCAAAGAGGAAGCUAGAACGAACGGUGUAGUAGUGAAAUGCGUUGAUAUCGUUCGGAAUACCGAUAGCGAAGGCAGGCUUCUGGGUGCCACCUGGCACUGCUAGGACGAAAGCGUGGGGAGCGAAUGGG